ACUUUAGACUGAGAGACGCUGCAAAAGAAGCUGUGUGUGCUUUUAGCACGGAGAGAUGCCGGAAAGUUCUGAUGGAUUUAUGGCUUGUAAAUAAACACUCUUAGAGAUAGCAACGAACUGUCUCUGGACUUGAUUUAUCCCUCUAUCUCACACGGACGGCAGGACUGCUGUGACUCUGUUUUCCUGCCCAGGUCAGCCCCAAGCAGAACUACGCAGGGAAGUGCUGACUGGACGGCAGGAUUUAAUGGCCAAAGGUUAUGGGUCUUCCGUGUUUCCUGCCAAGUGUGAGGAGGGAAGAAGGCUGCCAGCUUUGAGCUGCUUUGAGCUCCUGCCAGGAAGGGCAGUGGGAGACGCUGGUGGAGAGCGGAGCCAAGAGGAGGCUGCUGCGGAGGACCAGCUAGCUGGCAACACGUGAGUACGCUUAAGCCCCGGGGGGAGGAAGAUGGCUGCUCAGCCACAGCAAGGCCAUGAGAGCUACCCCGGUGAAAGACUGAAUGGGGCCAAUUGGGAAGCUGGUCUAAGCGCAUGUACUACUGGCUGGAAGAAAAACAGCUUUGGGAGUGUACACAGGCUGAACCAGUUCUUGCCCAGCCCAGUGCUGCAGCUGCAGAGGCUGAGAGGUCUGCAGGAGCAGUGGAAGCUUGUGAAGCAGACGUGGCUGCUGCUCUGGAGAGAGAGCAAAGGGUGCUAGCCAUUUUAAGGGCCAGCAUUGAUGCUUGGCUGUUGCCAAACCUUCAAGGGAAGAAGCCCUGGGUCGCAUGGCAGGCACUGAAGACGGCAUGUCAGGCUGCAGUGGGAGCCAGACCAGAGGGGGCUAAAAAAUGCCCAGAGAGAGCACUAAGCCCAGAGGGGGCUGGGACUGUUCCGGGAAGCUGUUUCUAUGCUUCGGCACGUCUGUGUGAUGGUCUGGGAGACAGGCUGAGAGCUGGGAAGAGGAAGGCAGUAGCAAUCUGUUCCUCAGGCAGCUGGGCACCCAGGAAUGGGGGUGCAGGCCGUUCCAAGAGCUCUGGGAAAGCCAAAGUCUCCAAGAGUUGUUUGUGCUCUGAGGCAAAGUCCAACAGCAAAGGGCAUUGUUCUGCAGAGGCGUUGGAAUGCAAGGUCAGCCACCUGCUAAGGCAGAUAAGCAACGGUUCUCAGACGGCGAAGCGUGAGAACACCGGCAGAAGCCUUGCAGCAACCAUGGCAGCCAGGAAGGACACUGGCAGAGACCCUGGUGGGGGUGCGAGCAUCGCCAUGGCAACCUUGGAAAACUUUAUCUCUUGUUGUCGAUACGGGAGCGACCCACAGCCUGGUGCCAUCUGGUGGGCUCCUGAGAAAUUGCAAGACAGUUAAAUCUGGAUGUUUUAUCACGAUGGCAGAUGGUUCUAAGAGACAGUUAACUGAGACUGGUUUUUUAUACUGUCCCUUUCUAGAUCAUGAGGUGCAAGCUUAUGUGGUCCCUGAGCUUGCUCAUUCUCUUUUAAGUGUAUCAGCUCUUAUUGCUGAUGGGUUUGAUGUGGUGUUUACUAACAACAUGUGUUAUUUCUACAGGGAUGGGGGGAAGGACAGGCUUUUUCUGGUGCAGAUGCCUGUCACUGAUGCUACUGUUGCAGAGUCCCCUGAAGAAGCACAAGUGCAGUGUGCAAAUGUACCACCACACCAUGAUUGUUUACAUUUGUGGCAUCGCAGAUUCGGACAUGCAGGGUGGUCAUAUAUUAAGAAAGCCGCAGAGAACACAAUUGGGUGUGGGUUCAAGGCAUGUACUUAGAUUGUCAAGCUUGUAAAAAAUCAAAGGUCACGACAUGCACAUAUCCCAGGUCAGAAAGGAGGACCAGCAAACCCUUUGAGCUGGUUCAUGCAGAUUUAUGUGGGCCGAUGCAGGUAGCUUCUUUAAGUGGAUCGAAGCAUGUUUUGGUUCUGAUUGAUGAUUUUUCAAGACACACCUGGCUGUUUACACUUAAACACAAGUGGGAGGCGGCUGCACUGAUCAGGGAUUGGAUCACAGCGGUAGAGCUGCGUUUCUCCGCCAGGGUGGUUUCCUUUCAAUCUGAUCGGGGGGCGGAGUUCACAGGUUCUGCGCUGCAAUCUUUCUUCAGGCAGAAAGGUAUCAGUCAUCGAUUGACUGCCCCCUACAGUCUGCAACAGAAUGGAAUUGCAGAGAGAAAACACCACACCCUACAGGAAGCAGCGAAUGCUAUGCUGGCAGACUCGGGUCUGCCACAGCGCUUUUGAGCCGAGAGUUAUAAGACGGCAUGCUUUGUUCAGAACAGGGUGUUCAAUUCAAGUGUGGGAGACACGCCCUACUUUCUGCUGCAUGGGAAGAAACCCAAAGUGGAUUUCUUGCGUGUGUUUGGCUGUGAGGCUUGGGUCCUCAUUCCAAAGGCCACUCUCAGAAAGGGUGAACCAAGAUCUAGAAAAAUGAUAUUUGUAGGCUAUGAGCCGGGCUCAAAGGCAUGGCGUUUCGCAUACCCUACUGGCAACCAGUCUAAGCUGCUUAUUAGCGGCAGUGCUGAGUUUUGCGAGCAGAGUGGGUGGAAACGUCUUCACGGGAACCCAGAUGUUCUGUUUGACUCAGAUGAGGAAGAGGAGGAGGACGAAGCUGAACCUGUUGCUGAGGUGCACAGUCCACAGCCACAGAGUCCAGAGCCGGGAUCUCCAAGGGAGAGGCUCCGAACCUCUUCAAAGGGGAGUCCCAAGACCCCUCCACAGGUCUCUGUCAAGUCUGAGCCAGGGAGUGAGCCAUCCUCACCAGCAGACCCAGCUGUGAGGCCAAAAAGGCGCAGCAGGUCAGAGGGGAAGGUUUCUGACACAGGGGAUGGUGUGGCUGGCCCAAGUGAAUCAGGCGCAGUUCCAGAGUCCACGCUGAGGAGGUCAGCAAGGUCAACCAAGGGAAAGCCACCAGAAAGGUACGAAGCCACUAGCGUCUGGGUAGGUGUGGCUAGAUGUGAACCUGAAUCCUUUGAGGAUGUUCAGAAGUUGCCUCAGGAAGAAGCUAGCAGAGAGUAAAAGGCUCUGUCUGGCCGACACCUGGGCUCCCAGGACUGCUGCCGCCAGCACCGCCAGUGGAGAGGAAUCGGGGGUGCCCGGGUGUCUAUCAAAGGAGCCAAAACAACCCCCCCACGACUGAGAUUGAGCUGGAAAGGCACCCGACCACUACCCCCAACAGCCGAGAGGAGCUCCAAAACCAGGAGGACAGUGGAGCUAACGCAAAGAGGGAGAAAGAAAGGGGGAGAGAGGAAGAAAAAGAAAGAAAGAAAGAAAGAAAAAGGAGCUGCCCCCAUCUCUGCCGACGGGAAAUAAGAUGAGAGGUAGGUGAGCACGGGAAGGCAAAAGAGGCUCCGAAAAAACAUGUGGCUGAGCCCGACCGGAGCUCCAGCGGCAAGGAAAACACAGAGAAGCUGCAUGACAAAGGAGAUCGCAGAAAGGAAGAAACUACCUUUCCCCCCUUUCUUUUUUUUAACCCCUUUUUUUAACCCCUUCCUCCCCCUCCCUCCCCCCUUAAAAAAUAUAUAUAUAUCUUUUUUAUCCCUCCCCCCCCAUAUACCUACUUUUAUCACUUUUCUUUUUAAAAGAGGGGGCACUGCUGCUGCAGCCACCCUUUAUUUGAAUUUUUAUUUUUAUUUCUACCUUUUCUACACACUGUCUAAAGACACACUUUUCCACACACACACCCUCAAUUUAAACCUCAUUUUAUUUUCACCUCAAACUCCCGUCUUAAGAAUUAAAAUGGCAGUAUCCAUAAAAGAGCCCUGAAACAACACAGGUCAUUUCCUGGGACUGCCACUUCGCCCCAGACUUUCCACUCUCUUUUACCUAUCCUCUUCGCACUUUACACAUUUUUAAAAAUAAAAUAACUUUAUCCAUCUAUAUAUAUAUAAAAACAAAAAACCUUUUUUUUUAACCUUCAUUUCUCAUUUUUAUCUUUUACCCGUACAUUUUAAUUACUUUUUUACAAACAAAGGAUAAUAAUAAUAAUUAGGGGAAAAUAGUUUUUUUUUUAAAGAAAAAAACACACACAAUUUCCCCCCCUCUUUUUAAAGCCCUUUCUAUUCUAAUUGUUAGCUUCUUCUUGAGGGGGAAAUCCUUCGCCCCCUGCUAUGACCACCACUCUCUUUU